rnacentral:rRNA from 1 species
CAAAAACAUGGCUCCUUGAAACUUAAUAAUAAGGAGUCGGACCUGCCCAGUGAAUUUUCAACGGCCGCGGUACUCUGACCGUGCAAAGGUAGCAUAAUCAUUUGCCUUAUAAUUGAAGGCUAGUAUGAAUGGUUUGACAUGAAUGUAGCUGUCUCUUUAUAAUUUAAUAGAAUUUUAUCUUCAGGUGAAGAAGCCUGAAUUUAAUUAAAAGACAAGAAGACCCUAUCGAGCUUAAAAAAAAUUAAUAGGAUUAUAAUUAAUAUAAUUAAAAAAUUGUCUAUUAUAUAUUUUAGUUGGGGCGACUGAGGAACAUGAGAAGCUUCCUUUAAAAAAUUUCUAAAUCAGACUAGAAUUGAUCCAAAACAUUUUGAUUAAAGGAAUUAGUUACCGUAGGGAUAACAGCAUUAUCUUUUUUAAGAGCUCAUAUCGAAAAAAAGGUUUGUGACCUCGAUGUUGGACCAGAAUAUCCUAAAGAUGCAGCAGUCUUUAAAGGUUGGUCUGUUCGACCAUUAAAAUUCUACGUGA